GACGAACGCUGGCGGCGUGCCUAAUACGUGCAAGUGGGACGCAAGGGAACACACUGUGCUUGCACACCGUGUUUUCUUGAGUCGCGAACGGGUGAGUAACGCGUAGGUAACCUGCCUAUUAGCGGGGGAUAACUAUUGGAAACGAUAGCUAAUACCGCAUAAUAUUAAUUAUUGCAUGAUAAUUGAUUGAAAGAUGCAAGCGCAUCACUAGUAGAUGGACCUGCGUUGUAUUAGCUAGUUGGUAAGGUAAGAGCUUACCAAGGCGACGAUACAUAGCCGACCUGAGAGGGUGAUCGGCCACACUGGGACUGAGACACGGCCCAGACUCCUACGGGAGGCAGCAGUAGGGAAUCUUCGGCAAUGGACGAAAGUCUGACCGAGCAACGCCGCGUGAGUGAAGAAGGUUUUCGGAUCGUAAAGCUCUGUUGUAAGUCAAGAACGUGUGUGAGAGUGGAAAGUUCACACAGUGA
rnacentral:rRNA from 1 species